AUUGAACGCUGGCGGCGUGCCUAAUACAUGCAAGUAGACCGCAGUUGCGACCGUUUAAGUAACGCGUAGGUAACUACCUAUUAGAGGGGGAUAACUUUUGGAAACGAUAGCUACUACCGCAUACUAGUAGAUGAACCUUCUUUGUAUUAGUUAUUCGGUGGGUGAAUGGCCUAACUAGGCGACGAUACAUAGCCGACAUGAGAGGGGGAUCGGCCAAACGGGGACUGAGACACGGCCCAGAAUCCUACGGGAGGCAGCAGUAGGGAAUCGUCGGCAAUGGGGGGAACCCUGACCGAGCAACGCCGCGUGAGUGAAGAAGGUUUUCGGAUCGGAAAGCUCUGUUGUUAAGGAAGCGGUACUUAACCAGAAAGGGACGGCUAACUACGUGCCAGCAGCCGCGGUAAUUC
rnacentral:rRNA from 1 species